AGACCCGAAACCCGGUGAUCUAGCCAUGGGCAGGUUGAAGGUUGGGUAACACUAACUGGAGGACCGAACCGACUAAUGUUGAAAAAUUAGCGGAUGACCUGUGGCUGGGGGUGAAAGGCCAAUCAAACCGGGAGAUAGCUGGUUCUCCCCGAAAGCUAUUUAGGUAGCGCCUCGUGAAUUCAUCUCCGGGGGUAGAGCACUGUUUCGGCUAGGGGGCCAUCCCGGCUUACCAACCCGAUGCAAACUGCGAAUACCGGAGAAUGUUAUCACGGGAGACACACGGCGGGUGCUAACGUCCGUCGUGAAGAGGGAAACAACCCAGACCGCCAGCUAAGGUCCCAAAGUCAUGGUUAAGUGGGAAACGAUGUGGGAAGGCCCAGACAGCCAGGAUGUUGGCUUAGAAGCAGCCAUCAUUUAAAGAAAGCGUAAUAGCUCACUGGUCGAGUCGGCCUGCGCGGAAGAUGUAACGGGGCUAAACCAUGCACCGAAGCUGCGGCAGCGACGCUUAUGCGUUGUUGGGUAGGGGAGCGUUCUGUAAGCCUGUGAAGGUGGCCUGUGAGGGUUGCUGGAGGUAUCAGAAGUGCGAAUGCUGACAUAAGUAACGAUAAAGCGGGUGAAAAGCCCGCUCGCCGGAAGACCAAGGGUUCCUGUCCAACGUUAAUCGGGGCAGGGUGAGUCGACCCCUAAGGCGAGGCCGAAAGGCGUAGUCGAUGGGAAACGGGUUAAUAUUCCCGUACUUGGUGUUACUGCGAAGGGGGGACGGAGAAGGCU
rnacentral:rRNA from 2 species